GACGAACGCUGGCGGCGUGCUUAACACAUGCAAGUCGAACGGUAAGGCCCUUCGGGGUACACGAGUGGCGAACGGGUGAGUAACACGUGGGUAAUCUGCCCUGCACAUCGGGAUAAGCCUGGGAAACUGGGUCUAAUACCGAAUAGGACCACAGGACACAUGUCCUGUGGUGGAAAGCUUUUGCGGUGUGGGAUGGGCCCGCGGCCUAUCAGCUUGUUGGUGGGGUGAUGGCCUACCAAGGCGACGACGGGUAGCCGGCCUGAGAGGGUGUCCGGCCACACUGGGACUGAGAUACGGCCCAGACUCCUACGGGAGGCAGCAGUGGGGAAUAUUGCACAAUGGGCGAAAGCCUGAUGCAGCGACGCCGCGUGGGGGAUGACGGCCUUCGGGUUGUAAACCUCUUUCACCAUCGACGAAGGUCCGGGUGUUCUCGGGCUGACGGUAGGUGGAGAAGAAGCACCGGCCAACUACGUG
rnacentral:rRNA from 1 species